rnacentral:rRNA from 1 species
CAGCAGCCACGGGAACACAGAGGGUGCGAGCGUUAAUCGGAUUUACUGGGCGUAAAGCGUGCGUAGGCGGCUUUUUAAGUCGGAUGUGAAAUCCCUGAGCUUAACUUAGGAAUUGCAUUCGAUACUGGGAAGCUAGAGUAUGGGAGAGGAUGGUAGAAUUCCAGGUGUAGCGGUGAAAUGCGUAGAGAUCUGGAGGAAUACCGAUGGCGAAGGCAGCCAUCUGGCCUAAUACUGACGCUGAGGUACGAAAGCAUGGGGAGCAAACAGGAUUAGAUACCCCUGUAGUCCCUGUCUCUUAUAC